rnacentral:rRNA from 1 species
UACGGAGGGUGCAAGCGUUGCUCGGAAUUAUUGGGCGUAAAGGGUAGGUAGGUGGUCUCAUUUGUCUGGGGUGAAAGCCUUGAGCUUAACUCAAGAAGUGCCCCAGAAACGGUGAGACUAGAGUCCUGGAGAGGGUCGUGGAAUUCCCGGUGUAGCGGUGAAAUGCGCAGAUAUCGGGAGGAACACCAGUAGCGAAGGCGGCGCGCUGGGCCGGUCCUGACGCUGAGACGCGAAAGCUAGGGGAGCGAACAGG